AGUCCUCACACACUUUGGUAGAUCAUCUAUCUGUCAUUGAGAUGCAAUUACGUGCAAGUGCAUAUUCAAUAACGCGAAGGUGCAUUACGCUCUAGAGUAAACUCCGUACUUUUGAGUUUGAGGCCUCAAAACUUAAACACGGAAUUAGCUAUUGCAAAAAUAAAACUUGCAGGAGAUAAUUCGGUCUUUUAUCUCGAGCGAGCGCUAGCGAGCGAGAGCAAAACUAAUCUCGCAGAGCUCACUAUGUUCAUACUCGAUUCUGGGCGAACGGACGGCAUCUGAAGACAGUUUUGGGCUCCCUGUGGCUACAGUCGCCAUCUUGGAAGUGAAAUCCUCCCAUCCCCUCCCCCCAUGAACAAUUAUUAUUCUAUGCGUGUUCAUACUCGAUUCAUUUGGGCGAACGGACGGCAUUUGUGGACAGUUUUGAGCUCCCUGUUGAAAUCAGUGUAGCGUGGCUCGCGGCACGUCUUCAUUUAGCGAAAUUUUCCGAUGAUCAAGGCUUCUUUGACUACACAAACAUGGCGAAAUUACAAGAUUAUUUGCUGCAAUCUUGAAAUAUAAGUUAAUGGAAAAUCACAAAAGAAAUUAAUACACCAAAAACUGAAGUUUCUUCUGAACUACAACAACCAGCAAAUAAAAGAACUCAUGACCAGGGUGAGGAAAAAAUAAUAAGUCCUUCAAAAGGUGUGGUCAUGUGGAAGCGAACUACAGCAAGCUGGAAGAUUAUGUACAGCAUACAUAACAUCAUUGAAAUGAGCAGUCACAAAAACUCCUUGCCAGGAUUGGAAACUAUGAACAUUUGAUCUGUAAAAAUAUGACAUUGCAUGGUGAUGGUCUAGGAGAUAAAUUAUAUCAAACACAAGACUAAUCAUGUGAGAGAAAAACUUCAAAGUCCUUCAAACAAGAGCGUGGCCAUGUGGAAGUGAACUACAGCAAGCUGAAACAUUGCUGGAAAAGUGAGAUUGAGAAAUGAUGUCUUCAAUGUAUAAACAGUGAUAAACAAGGGUGUUACAUUAUCAGUCAAAGUGAUAGUAAAGAUACUUUAGAUCUUAGAAAUUCUGCAUCAUCUCCAUUCCGCAAGCUAAACUACUAUUUAGAAUGCUGUGCCAACUGCAAAAUUAUGUACAGCAUGUAACACUGUUUUUAUUGACAAUCAUAGACAAGUUAUAAAUCAACAAUCACAAAAACUCCUUGAUUGGAAGCUAUGAACAUUCGAUUUGUAAAAAUAUGACAUUGCAUGGUUUAGGCAGAAGUGAAAACUUUAGGGUUCAUCCUCGGGCCCAGGGUCUUCCCCUCAUAUCCCCCUUGCCCCUGGGGGUAGGGGAGGGUGGAACCCUGAGAACGAGGAUGGGUCGGGUUUGGGUUUUCCCAAAGACAACUUCAAGCUGACCACAUGUAGCCCAAGCAUAUGAUUUGUGCGAAAUAACAAAGAGAAUGGCAUAUGGAAAACGAAAUAUAUCCUUCCUGAAGACAA